rnacentral:rRNA from 1 species
GAAAGGUGAAAAGAACCCCGGGAGGGGAGUGAAAUAGAACCUGAAACCGUGUGCCUACAACCGGUCAAAGCCCCUUAUGAGGGUGAUGACGUGCUUUUUGUAGAACGAGCCAACGAGUUACGGUAUGUAGCAAGGUUAAGUACUUAAGGUACGGAGCCGAAGGGAAACCGAGUCUUAAUAGGGCGACUAGUUGCAUGCCGUAGACCCGAAACCGGGUGACCUAUCCAUGGCCAGGUUGAAGCGAGGGUAAAACCUCGUGGAGGACCGAACCACGUUGCUGUUGAAAAAGCAUGGGAUGAGCUGUGGAUAGCGGAGAAAUUCCAAUCGAACUCGGAGAUAGCUGGUUCUCCCCGAAAUAGCUUUAGGGCUAGCGUCGGAUAUGUGUAGUGGAGGUAGAGCACUGAAUGGGCUAGGGGGCAUAUCGCUUACCGAACCUUAUCAAACUCCGAAUGCCAUAUACAUUUAGUCCGGCAGUCAGACUACGAAUGAUAAGAUCCGUGGUCAAAAGGGAAACAGCCCAGAUCGUCAGCUAAGGUCCCAAAGUGUAAGUUAAGUGGAAAAGGAUGUGGGAUUUCUAAGACAACUAGGAUGUUGGCUUAGAAGCAGCCACUCAUUUAAAGAGUGCGUAAUAGCUCACUAGUCGAGAGAUCCUGCGCCGAAAAUGUCCGGGGCUAAAACUUACCACCGAAGCUACGGGCUUGCGUAAGCAAGCGGUAGGGGAGCGUCGUAAUCGGGCUGAAGUCGUACCGUAAGGAGCGGUGGACUGAUUACGAGUGAGAAUGUUGGCAUUAGUAGCGAGAUGUAGGUGAGAAUCCUACAGGCCGAAUAUCUAAGGUUUCCUCAGGAAGGCUCGUCCGCUGAGGGUUAGUCGGGACCUAAGCCGAGGCCGAAAGGCGUAGGCGAUGGACAACAGGUUGAUAUUCCUGUACCACUACCAUCGUUAUUAUCGAGGGUGUGACGGAGAAGGAUAGUGUGUGCUAGCGAUUGGAAAUGCUAGUCUAAGCGUUUAGGCAGUUACGGUAGGCAAAUCCGCUGUAAUGUUAAUGCUGAGGCGUGAUGGGGAAGGCCCUUGAGGCUGAAGUACAUGAUUCCAUGCUUCCAAGAAAAGCAUCUAGAGAGAGAAGUAGUGCCCGUACCGCAAACCGACACAGGUAGAUGAGGAGAGAAUCCUAAGGCCGGCGGAAGAAUUGCAGUUAAGGAACUAGGCAAAUUGACCCCGUAAGUUAGCGAGAAGGGGUGCCUACGAGAGUAGGCCGCAGAGAAUAGGCCCAAGCAACUGUUUAGCAAAAACACAGGUCUCUGCUAAAGCGCAAGCUGAUGUAUAGGGGCUGACGCCUGCCCGGUGCUGGAAGGUUAAGGGGAACACUUAGCGCAAGCGAAGGUGUGAACUUAAGCCCCAGUAAACGGCGGCCGUAACUAUAACGGUCCUAAGGUAGCGAAAUUCCUUGUCAGGUAAGUUCUGACCCGC